rnacentral:rRNA from 1 species
GACGAACGCUGGCGGCGUGCCUAAUACAUGCAAGUCGAGCGGAAGUUGAAGAGCUUGCUCUUCAACUUUAGCGGCGGACGGGUGAGUAACACGUGGGCAACCUGCCCUGCAGAUCGGGAUAACUCCGGGAAACCGGUGCUAAUACCGAAUAGUUUUCGCCACCUCCUGGUGGCGUACGGAAAGACGGUUUCGGCUGUCACUGCAGGAUGGGCCCGCGGCGCAUUAGCUAGUUGGUGGGGUAACGGCCCACCAAGGCAACGAUGCGUAGCCGACCUGAGAGGGUGAUCGGCCACACUGGGACUGAGACACGGCCCAGACUCCUACGGGAGGCAGCAGUAGGGAAUCUUCCGCAAUGGACGAAAGUCUGACGGAGCAACGCCGCGUGAGUGACGAAGGUUUUCGGAUCGUAAAACUCUGUUGUGAGGGAAGAACAAGUACCACUUAACUACUGGUACCUUGACGGUACCUCACCAGAAAGCCACGGCUAACUACGUGCCAGCCGCCGCCGUAA